rnacentral:rRNA from 1 species
CAAUAGCGUAUAUUAAAGUUGUUGCAGUUAAAAAGCUCGUAGUUGGAUUUCUGAUGGGAGCGAUCGGUCUGGCGCUUAGCGCGAGUACUUGCAUCGUCUCCGGCCAUCCUUGGGGAGAGUCUGUCUGGCAUUAGGUUGUCGGGCAGAGGAUCCUCAUCGUUUACUGUGAAAAAAUUAGAGUGUUCAAAGCAGGCUUAUGCCGUUGAAUAUAUUAGCAUGGAAUAAUAAGAUAGGACUUUGGUACUAUUUUGUUGGUUUGCGCACCAAAGUAAUGAUUAAUAGGGACAGUUGGGGGUAUUCGUAUUCCGUUGUCAGAGGUGAAAUUCUUGGAUUACGGAAGACGAACUACUGCGAAAGCAUUUACCAAGGAUGUUUUCAUUAA